rnacentral:rRNA from 1 species
CCCUUAGAUGUUCUGGCCGCACGCGUGCUACACUGAGUAAUUCAAUGGGUAAGGGAACGCUAGAGCAUUACCUAAUCUUGAAAUUUGCUCGUGAUGGGGAUCGACGGUUGCAAUUUUCCGUCGUGAACGAGGAAUACCUUGUAGGCGCAUGUCAUCAUCAUGCGCCGAAUACGUCCCUGCCCUUUGUACACACCGCCCGUCGCUCCUACCGAUUGAGUGAUCCGGUGAGGCUCUGGGACCUGGACGGAAAGAGCGUUUCGCUUGUUCUGUUUGGGAAACUUGGUCGAACCUUAUCAUUUAGAGGAAGGAGAAGUCGUAACA